rnacentral:lncRNA from 1 species
UUUUUAUUUACACUCCCACUAAUGUGUAAGUUAGGCUUUAAGUAAUUGUUUCUAUUAUGCAGGCUGACUAUUCAAACAGAUAUUGCCCCAGCCUGAUUUCUUUUGUUCAAAAAUAAAAGAACAAUCUCUUUGGAUACAUGCAGAGACCAUCAGGGGAAGCAUUAGAAGGACUGCAGUGAUCAGGAAAAUGCAAGAGCAUAAUAGAAGCAAGUUUAAAUUUGAUAGCACGUAAAGAAAAUGAUAUGCUUCUGCUUCUAAGCAAGGUGUCUUUAAGCUGUGAAGAAUUUGUAAUGGAAUGACUGAUACAGUGUUUUAUACUCGUCCUUUGAUUUCAAAAUAUUGCAAGGCAGAAUUGAUGAAGACACCUCUGAAAUAGUGAAGAACUAAGUUCAGAGAUGCUCUCUGUGAAAGCUGAAGAUCGAAGCAGAGUGUAUUAGCAUGCUGCAAGUGAUUGCUUUGUAAUUUAAGAAAGGUGGUGGAAAACGCUUUAACCUGAAUCCACACCUUAAAGUAAUUAGUAUUAGGAUAAUUACAAAAACUGUAGACUAUUAGCCCUUAAAAAAAAAAAAAAGAAGGAAAAAAAAGAAAAAAGAAAAACAAUAGACUCAACAGAUUCCCAAAUGCUAGAAUAUUCCUGUUCUAAAAUUCAAAACAAAUUUUGGAUUCAGGCCAUUUGCUUAGCAGAGACUCAGAAAUGGACCGCAGGAAACCAUUUUGUACAUUCCCUUGAUCCAGAGAGAAUUGGUUAUGCUAUGUCACUCUAGGAUGUAAGGAAUGAGUAUAGUUACAACAACAAAAACAACAAAAACCCUCUGGUUCAAAACUGUGGCAAGAAAUUCUUGAGAAAGGAGAAGGUGACAGAGUUUGGAUGCAGAUUAGAAUUCAGUUGCUGUGUUAGUGCAGCAAAAGAAUUCCCUACCUGAGAGCAUUGUAAAGUCUGAGAAAAACAUCACCAUUAUCCAGAAAGGUCACCAAAAGAAACCAAUUAGAACUCUGGAAGGAAUAAAUCUUUAAUAAUGCCCUCCCUGGAAAGGUCA